rnacentral:rRNA from 1 species
GACGAACGCUGGCGGCGUGCCUAAUACAUGCAAGUUGAGCGCUGAAGGUUGGUACUUGUACCGACUGGAUGAGCAGCGAACGGGUGAGUAACGCGUGGGGAAUCUGCCUUUGAGCGGGGGACAACAUUUGGAAACGAAUGCUAAUACCGCAUAAAAACUUUAAACACAAGUUUUAAGUUUGAAAGAUGCAAUUGCAUCACUCAAAGAUGAUCCCGCGUUGUAUUAGCUAGUUGGUGAGGUAAAGGCUCACCAAGGCGAUGAUACAUAGCCGACCUGAGAGGGUGGUCGGCCACAUUGGGACUGAGACACGGCCCAAACUCCUACGGGAGGCAGCAGUAGGGGAUCUUCGGCAAUGGACGAAAGUCUGACCGAGCAACGCCGCGUGAGUGAAGAAGGUUUUCGGAUCGUAAAACUCUGUUGGUAGAGAAGAACGUUGGUGAGAGUGGAAAGCUCAUCAAGUGACGGUAACUACCCAGAAAGGGACGGCUAACUACGUG